GACGAACGCGGGCGGCGUGCCUAAUACAUGCAAGUAGGACGCACAGUCUAUACCGUAGCUUGCUACACCAUAGGCUUUGAGUUGCGAACGGGUGAGUAACGCGUAGGUAACCUGCCUAUUAGAGGGGGAUAACUAUUGGAAACGAUAGCUAAUACCGCAUAACAGUAUGUAACACAUGUUAGAUGCUUGAAAGAUGCAAUUGCAUCGCUAGUAGAUGGACCUGCGUUGUAUUAGCUAGUAGGUAGGGUAAUGGCCUACCUAGGCAACGAUACAUAGCCGACCUGAGAGGGUGAUCGGCCACACUGGGAUGAGACACGGCCCAGACUCCUACGGGAGGCAGCAGUAGGGAAUCUUCGGCAAUGGGGGGAACCCUGACCGAGCAACGCCGCGUGAGUGAAGAAGGUUUUCGGAUCGUAAAGCUCUGUUGUUAAGGAAGAAACGAAGUGUGA
rnacentral:rRNA from 1 species